AGCGAACGCUGGCGGCAGGCCUAACACAUGCAAGUCGAACGAACCUUUCGGGGUUAGUGGCGGACGGGUGAGUAACACGUGGGAACGUGCCUUUAGGUUCGGAAUAACUCAGGGAAACUUGUGCUAAUACCGAAUGUGCCCUUCGAGGGAAAGAUUUAUCGCCUUUAGAGCGGCCCGCGUCUGAUUAGCUAGUUGGUUGAGGUAAUGGCUCACCAAGGCGACGAUCAGUAGCUGGUCUGAGAGGAUGAUCAGCCACAUUGGGACUGAGACACGGCCCAAACUCCUACGGGAGGCAGCAGUGGGGAAUCUUGCGCAAUGGGCGAAAGCCUGACGCAGCCAUGCCGCGUGAAUGAUGAAGGUCUUAGGAUUGUAAAAUUCUUUCACCGGGGACGAUAAUGACGGUACCCGGAGAAGAAGCCCCGGCUAACUUCGUG
rnacentral:rRNA from 1 species